GUUAUUUUGGCAGAGAAGUGCAAAGGAUUUAGAAUCCUUACAUGAGGGUAAUCCCUCAAAUAACA
rnacentral:tRNA from 1 species